rnacentral:rRNA from 1 species
UACGAAGGGGGCUAGCGUUGUUCGGAAUCACUGGGCGUAAAGCGCACGUAGGCGGAUCUUUAAGUCAGGGGGUGAAAUCCCGAGGCUCAACCUCGGAACUGCCUUUGAUACUGGGGAUCUCGAGUCCGGGAGAGGUGAGUGGAACUGCGAGUGUAGAGGUGAAAUUCGUAGAUAUUCGCAAGAACACCAGUGGCGAAGGCGGCUCACUGGCCCGGAACUGACGCUGAGGUGCGAAAGCGUGGGAGCAAACAGGG